rnacentral:rRNA from 1 species
AUGCUGACCACUUUCAGACAAAACCCGGUUAAUAUUCCGGAAUUUUCAAUUAUUAUGUUGUGCUACUCUCUAGGCAAACUCAUGGCUGCUGUUCUUCCAGCCAAAGUUGUGAGGGUCCCUGGAACCAAAAUUGUGUUCUCACUGAACCCUGGCCCAUUCAGUCUAAAGGAACAUAUACUGUGUUGCAUGAUCGCUAAUAAUGGUUUAGGGGCUUCUCCUGCAAUAGAUAUUUUGGCAGCCACAAAGGCCUAUUUCAGAAGAUCUAUUCACCCAGUUGCAGUUUUUUUGCUUCUACUCACAACAAGUAAUAUUUCUUGUGGAUUUAUUGGCUUCUUCAUGAAGUUCUUUGUGAACCGCUCAGAGAUGUGGUGGCCUGAAAUCUUACCCAUGGUAACAAUGUACAGGGCAUUUCAUGAGAAGGAGGAAAGAUCAAAGGCAACACUACCAAGAAAUAAAUUUUUCUUCUUGGUCUUUGUCAUUAGUUUUUCGUACUAUACCAUUCCGGGUUACUUCUUCCCUUCUGUUAGUGCAUUGUCAUUUGUUUGCUGGGUUUGGAAAAGGUCUAUCACUGCUCAGCAAAUUGGCUCUGGUUAUAAUGGUUUGGGGAUUGGCUCAUUUGGCCUUGAUUGGUCGACAGUUAGCGGCUUCACUGGCAGUCCUCUAAUGUUCCCUUUCUUUGUCAUUGUCAACACGAUGGUUGGGUUUAUCUUAUUCAUGUACAUUGUCGUCCCUUUUGCUUACUGGAGCAAUUCAUUUAAAGCGAAGACAUUUCCUAUUGUCAGUACAGAAGUGUAUGAUAACUAUGGUGGUAGAUAUAACAUGUCUAGGGUCUUGGAUGAGAGUAAUUUUCAAUUUAAGCAAGAAGGCUAUGAAAAUUAUUCGAAGUUGUACUUGAGUAUUACACGGGCAUGCUCGAUUGGAUUUGGACUUGCAUCUCUGGGAGCAUCUCUUACAGAUAUAGUACUAUCUCAUGGCAGAUCAUUUUGGAACCAAUUAAACCAAUCAAUUGAUGGCCGAGGCAGUCGUGAUGUUCAUGUGCAAAUGAUGGAUAAGUACAAAAGCAUUCCUGUGUGGUGGUUUAUUCUUCUUCUAUUACCAAUGAUUGGUCUGGCAGUGUUUACCUGUGAAGGGUUUGGGAAUGAAUUCCAGCUUCCUUACUGGGGAAUUAUUCUUGCAUGCUUGCUUGUACUUCUGUUCGUCCCACCUUGCGCAGCACUCCGGGCCACCGUUGCUCAGAACCCAUCGACUGAGUUGCUAUCACAUAUCAUCAUUGGGUACUUGUGCCCUGGACGACCAUUGGCCAAUAUGGUUUUUGAACUGUACUGCUCAAUAAAUAUUGACUAUUGUCUUGAGAUUCUUGCAUCUUACAAGCUUGGAUUUUACAUGAAAAUUCCUCCUAGAGAAAUGUUCUUUGCUCAGGAAUUUAUUGCUAUUUGUCGAGUUACCAAAGAUGGCUGA